rnacentral:rRNA from 1 species
UGCGUAGGCGGCGUCAUAAGUCAGGGGUGAAAGCCCACAGCUCAACUGUGGAAUUGCCUUUGAUACUGUGGUGCUUGAAUCAGGUUGAGGUAGGCGGAAUGUGGCAUGUAGCGGUGAAAUGCUUAGAUAUGCCAUAGAACACCGAUUGCGAAGACAGCUUACUGGACCUGCAUUGACGCUGAGGCACGAAAGCGUGGGGAGCGAACAGGAUUAGAUACCCUGGUAGUCC